rnacentral:rRNA from 1 species
AGCGUACACGGUGGAUGCCCUGGCAGUCAGAGGCGAUGAAGGACGUGCUAAUCUGCGAAAAGCGUCGGUAAGGUGAUAUGAACCGUUAUAACCGGCGAUGUCCGAAUGGGGAAACCCAGUGCAAUUCGUUGCACUAUCGUUAACUGAAUACAUAGGUUAACGAGGCGAACCGGGGGAACUGAAACAUCUAAGUACCCCGAGGAAAAGAAAUCAACCGAGAUUCCCCCAGUAGCGGCGAGCGAACGGGGAGCAGCCCAGAGUCUGAAUCAGCUUGUGUGUUAGUGGAACGGUCUGGAAAGUCCGACGGUACAGGGUGAUAGUCCCGUACACCAAAAUGCACAGGUUGUGAACUCGAAGAGUAGGGCGGGACACGUGGUAUCCUGUCUGAAUAUGGGGGGACCAUCCUCCAAGGCUAAAUACUCCUGACUGACCGAUAGUGAACCAGUACCGUGAGGGAAAGGCGAAAAGAACCCCGGCGAGGGGAGUGAAAAAGAACCUGAAACCGUGUACGUACAAGCAGUGGGAGCACCUUCGGGUGUGACUGCGUACCUUUUGUAUAAUGGGUCAGCGACUUAUAUUCUGUAGCAAGGUUAACCGUAUAGGGGAGCCGCAGGGAAACCGAGUCUUAACUGGGCGUUAAGUUGCAGGGUAUAGACCCGAAACCCGGUGAUCUAGCCAUGGGCAGGUUGAAGGUUGGGUAACACUAACUGGAGGACCGAACCGACUAAUGUUGAAAAAUUAGCGGAUGACUUGUGGCUGGGGGUGAAAGGCCAAUCAAACCGGGAGAUAGCUGGUUCUCCCCGAAAGCUAUUUAGGUAGCGCCUCGUGAACUCAUCUUCGGGGGUAGAGCACUGUUUCGGCUAGGGGGUCAUCCCGACUUACCAACCCGAUGCAAACUACGAAUACCGAAGAAUGUUAUCACGGGAGACACACGGCGGGUGCUAACGUCCGUCGUGAAGAGGGAAACAACCCAGACCGCCAGCUAAGGUCCCAAAGUCACAGUUAAGUGGGAAACGAUGUGGGAAGGCACAGACAGCCAGGAUGUUGGCUUAGAAGCAGCCAUCAUUUAAAGAAAGCGUAAUAGCUCACUGGUCGAGUCGGCCUGCGCGGAAGAUGUAACGGGGCUAAACUGUGCACCGAAGCUGCGGCAGCGACACUAUGUGUUGUUGGGUAGGGGAGCGUUCUGUAAGCCUGCGAAGGUGGCCUGUGAGGGUUGCUGGAGGUAUCAGAAGUGCGAAUGCUGACAUAAGUAACGAUAAUGCGGGUGAAAAGCCCGCACGCCGGAAGACCAAGGGUUCCUGUCCAACGUUAAUCGGGGCAGGGUGAGUCGACCCCUAAGGCGAGGCCGAAAGGCGUAGUCGAUGGGAAACAGGUUAAUAUUCCUGUACUUGGUGUUACUGCGAAGGGGGGACGGAGAAGGCUAUGUUAGCCGGGCGACGGUUGUCCCGGUUUAAGCAUGUAGGCGGAGGUUCCAGGUAAAUCCGGUACCUUAUUAACGCUGAGGUGUGAUGACGAGGCACUACGGUGCUGAAGUAACAAAUGCCCUGCUUCCAGGAAAAGCCUCUAAGCAUCAGGUAACAUUGAAUCGUACCCCAAACCGACACAGGUGGUCAGGUAGAGAAUACCAAGGCGCUUGAGAGAACUCGGGUGAAGGAACUAGGCAAAAUGGUGCCGUAACUUCGGGAGAAGGCACGCUGAUAUGUAGGUGAAGCCCCUGCGGGUGGAGCUGAAAUCAGUCGAAGAUACCAGCUGGCUGCAACUGUUUAUUAAAAACACAGCACUGUGCAAACACGAAAGUGGACGUAUACGGUGUGACGCCUGCCCGGUGCCGGAAGGUUAAUUGAUGGGGUUAUCCGUAAGGAGAAGCUCUUGAUCGAAGCCCCGGUAAACGGCGGCCGUAACUAUAACGGUCCUAAGGUAGCGAAAUUCCUUGUCGGGUAAGUUCCGACCUGCACGAAUGGCGUAAUGAUGGCCAGGCUGUCUCCACCCGAGACUCAGUGAAAUUGAACUCGCUGUGAAGAUGCAGUGUACCCGCGGCAAGACGGAAAGACCCCGUGAACCUUUACUAUAGCUUGACACUGAACAUUGAGCCUUGAUGUGUAGGAUAGGUGGGAGGCUUUGAAGCGUGGACGCCAGUCUGCGUGGAGCCAACCUUGAAAUACCACCCUUUAAUGUUUGAUGUUCUAACGUUGGCCCCUGAUCGGGGUUGCGGACAGUGUCUGGUGGGUAGUUUGACUGGGGCGGUCUCCUCCCAAAGAGUAACGGAGGAGCACGAAGGUUAGCUAAUCCUGGUCGGACAUCAGGAGGUUAGUGCAAUGGCAUAAGCUAGCUUGACUGCGAGCGUGACGGCGCGAGCAGGUGCGAAAGCAGGUCAUAGUGAUCCGGUGGUUCUGAAUGGAAGGGCCAUCGCUCAACGGAUAAAAGGUACUCCGGGGAUAACAGGCUGAUACCGCCCAAGAGUUCAUAUCGACGGCGGUGUUUGGCACCUCGAUGUCGGCUCAUCACAUCCUGGGGCUGAAGUAGGUCCCAAGGGUAUGGCUGUUCGCCAUUUAAAGUGGUACGCGAGCUGGGUUUAGAACGUCGUGAGACAGUUCGGUCCCUAUCUGCCGUGGGCGCUGGAGAAUUGAGGGGGGCUGCUCCUAGUACGAGAGGACCGGAGUGGACGCAUCACUGGUGUUCGGGUUGUCAUGCCAAUGGCAUUGCCCGGUAGCUAAAUGCGGAAGAGAUAAGUGCUGAAAGCAUCUAAGCACGAAACUUGCCCCGAGAUGAGUUCU